rnacentral:rRNA from 1 species
AUUGAACGCUGGCGGUAUGCCUAACACAUGCAAGUCGAACGGCAGCACAGUAAGAGCUUGCUCUUACGGGUGGCGAGUGGCGGACGGGUGAGGAAUACAUCGGAAUCUACUUUUUCGUGGGGGAUAACGUAUGGAAACUUACGCUAAUACCGCAUACGACCUACGGGUGAAAGCAGGGGAUCUUCGGACCUUGCGCGAUUGAAUGAGCCGAUGUCGGAUUAGCUAGUUGGCGGGGUAAAGGCCCACCAAGGCGACGAUCCGUAGCUGGUCUGAGAGGAUGAUCAGCCACACUGGAACUGAGACACGGUCCAGACUCCUACGGGAGGCAGCAGUGGGGAAUAUUGGACAAUGGGCGCAAGCCUGAUCCAGCCAUACCGCGUGGGUGAAGAAGGCCUUCGGGUUGUAAAGUCCUUUUGUUGGGAAAGAAAAGCAGCAGGUUAAUACCGCGCUGUUCUGACGGUACCCAAAGAAUAAGCACCGGCUAACUUCGUG